ACAUAGCAUAAGAAGUACACAAACAUGUACUGGACACCUGCUGUCUGCCAGGAGCUGCUGGGCCUUGGGAAUGAAAACCUGAACAGGCUUACUCGCCUUUGAGAAAAUCAACAUUUCUAGUGUCUGGGAAAUCCAAGAUCAAGACACCAGCAGAUUCGGUAUCUGGUGAGAGCCUGCCUUCUGGUUCACUGCCAGCUAUCUUCUUGCUGUGUCCUCACCUGGUAGAAGGGGUGAACACAAAUACUUCCAAGUAUUCCACCAAUGGUUCCUGGAAGAUGUGGGGAAACAAGAAUGAAGAUGUCCAGGCUUUCUAACAGGUACUGUGCUAAGUCCUAGGGAAACAGUAAGUAAGAUGUUAUUCCUGCUCUCAAGAACUGUGAUAUCUACAAAGAACUUAUCAAACUCAACACCCAAAAAACAAAGAAUCCAGUCAAGAAAUGGGCAGAAGACAUGAAGAGAUAUUUCUCCAAAGAAGAUAUACAAAUGGCUAACAGACACAUGAAAAAAUACUCAACUUCACUUGGCAUCAGUAAAAAACAAAUCAAAACCACAAUGAGACACCACCUCAUACAGGUCAGAAUGUCUAAAAUUAACAGGAAAAAGCAGAUGUUGAUGUGAAAGCAGAGAAAGAGGAACCCUCUUACACUGUUGGUGAGAAUGUAAACUGAUGCAGCCACUCUGGAAAACAUUAUGGGGUUCUUCAAAAAGUUAAAAAUAGAACCACCCUAGGACCAGGAAGUGUACUACUCAAUAUUUAUUCAAAGGAUACAAAAACAGUGAUUCAAAAGGGUACAUCCAUCCCAAUGUUUAGUUUAUAGCAGCAAUGUCCACAAUAGCCAAAACAUGGAAAGAACCCAGAUGUCCAUCAAUAGAUGAAUGUGUGUGUGUGUGUGUGUGUGUGUG